rnacentral:rRNA from 1 species
UACGUAGGGUGCGAGCGUUGUCCGGAAUUAUUGGGCGUAAAGAGCUCGUAGGCGGUCUGUCGCGUCGAUCGUGAAAACUUGGGGCUUAACCCUGAGCUUGCGGUCGAUACGGGCAUGACUGGAGUUCGGCAGGGGAGACUGGAAUUCCUGGUGUAGCGGUGAAAUGCGCAGAUAUCAGGAAGAACACCCGUGGCGAAGGCGGUUCUCUGGAACGCAACUGACGCUGAGACGCGAAAGCGUGGGGAGCAAACAGG